GCUGAAAGAUGGCCUCGCGUCUGAUUAGAUAGUUGGUGGGGUAACGGCCUACCAAGUCGACGAUCAGUAGCCGGUCUGAGAGGAUGAACGGCCACAUUGGGACUGAGAUACGGCCCAGACUCCUACGGGAGGCAGCAGUGGGGAAUAUUGGGCAAUGGGGGAAACCCUGACCCAGCAACGCCGCGUGAAGGAAGAAGGCCUUCGGGUUGUAAACUUCUUUUACCAGGGACGAAGGACGUGACGGUACCUGGAGAAAAAGCAACGGCUAACUACGUGCCAGCAGCCGCGGUAAUACGUAGGUUGCAAGCGUUGUCCGGAUUUACUGGGUGUAAAGGGCGUGUAGGCGGAGGAGCAAGUCAGAUGUGAAAUCCAUGGGCUUAACCCAUGAACUGCAUUUGAAACUGUUUCCCUUGAGUAUCGGAGAGGCAAGCGGAAUUCCUAGUGUAGCGGUGAAAUGCGUAGAUAUUAGGAGGAACACCAGUGGCGAAGGCGGCUUGCUGGACGACAACUGACGCUGAGGCGCGAAAGCGUGGGGAGCAAACAGGAUUAGAUACCCUGGUAGUCCACGCUGUAAACGAUGAAUACUAGGUGUGGGAGGACUGACCCCUUCCGUGCCGCAGUUAACACAAUAAGUAUUCCACCUGGGG
rnacentral:rRNA from 1 species